AUGGAGGCCGCCAUCUUGAGCGGCUCCAUCAAAAUUAUGCUGCCGAAGCUCUUGUCGCUGGUUGAGAAGAGUUGGAAUCUGAGCAAGGACAUCAUGAGGGACAUCAAAUUCCUCGAGAAGGAGCUCGGCAUGAUUGUCCGUUCCAUCGACAUGGAGCUCAACGCUCCGAGACAGGAUCAUGGAGCAGCCCUGCUGCUCCUGUCGAUCGAAGAUCUGCGCGAGCUGGCUCACGGGAUAGAGGACUGCAUCGACAGCCUCAUGUAUCGCGCGAGCUGGAAGCAGCAGUCUUCUCUGUUCCGCCGGCGCGUACAGUCCCCCAAGACGCUCCUCACUGGGCUGCAGUUUGCCCAUAAGCUUCAGAGGAUGAAGCAGAUGGUGGUGGAGGCGCACGACCGGAGGCAGAGGUACCCCGUCCCCGCCCAGACCUCCGGUGAUGUCCCGUCGCCCUCCUCUGCUUCGGAUCCGCGCCUCGUGGACGCGGAUCUCGUCGGCGUCGAUGAGCACCGGGCGAAGCUCCUGGAGCAGCUGGCGGAAGCGGCCGAGGGGCAGCCGAUGCAGCUCAAGGUGGUCUCUAUCGUAGGGUGCUGGGGGUUGGGGAAGACCGCUCUUGCCGCCGAUGUGUACAAAACACAAGCCGGCGGCGAGAGGUUCGACAAGCGCGCGUGGGUCUGUGCCGCGCUCAAGAGCCCAGGGGAGGUGCUGGCCGACAUGCUCCGGGAAUUCGGAUCUGAUUGCCAGGAAAGUGUGAUGCUGGACACCUCCAAUGUCUCCCAGAUGUGCGUACAAGUCAGAAAUCAGUUGGCCAAGAAGAGAUAUUUCAUUGUAAUCGAUGACAUUCAGACGCAAGUUCAGUGGAAAAAAAAUCAAAUCAGCUUUCCCAGAUGACAACGAUGGAAGCAGCAGAGUUGUGGUGACGACAACUAUUCAGUCAGUUGCUACUGCCUGCAGCUCUGAGAACGGCUAUGUGCACAGAAUGAGUAGACUCGAUGAAAAAUGCUCGAAGCGGUUAUUCUCAGAGAAAGCUUGCCCGAAGAAAUAUUUGCAUUACGACCAGCCUGAUACAACAGCAAUUCUGAACAAAUGUUAUGGCCAGCCCCUUGCCCUGAUUACCAUGGGUGAAUUCUUGAAAUCAAUUGGUUGGCCGAUUGGACAUACCUGUGAAGAUGCAUGCAACAACAUUCGUUACCAUAUGGAGAACGGAGAGACCUUUGGUGAUAUGCGACGCGCUCUGAUGCGUAGCUACGCCAGUCUGGGCGGCCAUGCUCUCAAAGCCUGCUUGUUAUAUUUUGCCAUGUUCCCGAGUGAUCAUCCCAUGAGAAAGAAAAGCUUGUUGAGGCGAUGGUCAGCUGAGGGGAUUGUAGAAACCCAAGCUUCAUGUGAUGCCAUGAAACUUGCAGCUGAAAAUUUUGACGAGCUUAUGGACCGAAACCUCAUCGAACCCAUCGGUGUAAGCAACAAUGGUAACGUUAAGACUUGCCAAACUUAUGGCAUGAUGCGUGAGUUCAUUUUGCAGUUGUCAAUCUCUCAGAACUUUGUAACUUUGUUUUGUGAUGACAAGAAAGAGGCUGGCAAAUAUGCCCGGCGGCUUUCUCUCCAUCAUAAAAAUGCUAAAGAUGAUGACAGGUUCAAGAAUAUUGAUUUAUCACUUGUCCGAUCCCUGACAAUCUUCGGGGAGGCAUGUAAAACUGUACUCAACUUCGGCAAGUAUGAACUGCUGCGGGUCCUUGAUCUUGAAAAAUGUGAUGACUUGAAGGAUGAUCAUAUCAAAGGCAUAUGCAACCUGCUGCUGCUGAAGUAUCUGAGCCUUGGGGGUAGUGUUACCGAACUUCCAGAGGAUAUUGCAAAACUGGAGCAUUUGGAGGCACUUGAUGUGAGGAAAACAAAGGUGAAUAUACUGCCGGUGGAAGUUUUCUUGUUGCCCUGUUUAAUGCACAUAUUGGGAGAGUUUAGGAUUUCAGGAAAAGUCUAUAAAGAGUGUUUUCCUCAAAAAGAAGACAGGCAAUGAAGUACAGAAGUUUCUUUCCGAAGGAAAAAGUAACAUCGAAACUCUAGCAGGAUUUAUCACCGAUGGAAGUGAAGGGUUUCUUCAUCUCAUGGGCCAUAUGAAUAGAUUGAGGAAGGUGAAGAUUUGGUGUAAGCCAUCUGCAGCUGCUAGUAGCACUGACUGGUCCGAUCUUAUGAGGGCCAUUCAACAGUUCAUUCAGGACAGAAAGGACGAAAAUAGUGAUACUACACGUUCUUUAUCGCUUCAUUUCGAUGAAUGCUCUGGAGAUUUCCUGGAUUCCAUACAAGGACCCUGCUACCUCAGCUCUCUGAAAUUACAUGGCAACUUAACUAUAUUGCCUCAGUUUGUUGUAUCACUUCGGGGUCUCAAGGAGCUUUGCCUUUCGACUACUAAACUUACAACUGGUGUUCUUGAAGCUUUGAGUAGUUUGAGCCACCUGCAGUAUUUAAAACUGAUUGCUGAUGAAAUUGAGGAGUUUAGUAUAGGAGUCCAUGCACUGCCCAGGCUUCUACGCCUCUGUUUUGAGCUGCAAUGUCCAACAUUGCCCACAAUCAAACAAGGAGCUAUGCGGUUUCUCGUCACACUCCAGCUUCUUUGCAAAGAUAUAAAUGGCCUUUCUGUCAUCAAUAUUGAAUGUUUCAAACACCUUGAGGAGGUCAUCCUUCAUCCUAGAGUCAGUCAAGAAGCCCAGAAACAAUGGGAGAAGGCCGCUGAGGAACACCCGAAUGGGCCAAAAGUUUUGUUGUUCAAAUCUGGUGAUGAAGCAGAGAGUUCAAAUGAUCAACUGAAUCCAGCAUUCAGUCGCAUGGGGAUUUCUGAAGUUUGUCCUCCUUUAAAUGAGUCAGCGAGCAGCAUCGUGGUGUCUUAAGCAGGAUCUCGAUUCUUGAUUCAGCAUGCUGGCUAUGUACAUCUAUCAACUGGCUACAGUCGUGGGCAAUGUUGUCGCGAACGGAUCAGCAGGAGGCCAUGAGGGAGUGUAGCAACAAGCUGGGUCAACUUAUCGGAGGGUUUAUGUCUAAAAUUGGGUCAUGGUUCAAUAAUACCUGAGUUCUUUAUUUUUGUAACGUACGACUUUGUAAAAAACUGGUUGUGUGCACCCUUGGGUGCUGAGAUCUGCAGAGCUAUUCUGCCAUUUUUCUGAAUAAAUAAAAAACUGCGGUGUCUGUUUAUUCUUGUUGUGCAGCAUAUGGUGUCGGUAGAACGAGAUCCACUUACUAGAUAGGACUGAGCUGCCUGUUACUGCCAACGAUGGCUAAUGUUGCGAACUCAUUUACUGAACCAACAUGUAC
rnacentral:rRNA from 1 species